AUUUAGAGUUUAACAUUGAAAAUGUUAAGGUAAUCUUUGAUUUCUAAAAAUAUUUUUAUAUUUAUA
rnacentral:tRNA from 1 species